rnacentral:rRNA from 1 species
GAUGAACGCUAGCUACAGGCUUAACACAUGCAAGUCGAGGGGAAACGACAUCGAAAGCUUGCUUUUGAUGGGCGUCGACCGGCGCACGGGUGAGUAACGCGUAUCCGACCUGCCCAUCACUUGGGGAUAACCUUGCGAAAGUAAGACUAAUACCCAAUGACGUCUCUAGAAGACAUCUGAAAGAGAUUAAAGAUUUAUCGGUGAUGGAUGGGGAUGCGUCUGGUUAGCUUGUUGGCGGGGUAACGGCCCACCAAGGCUACGAUCAGUGGGGGUUCUGAGAGGAAGGUCCCCCACAUUGGAACUGAGACACGGUCCAAACUCCUACGGGAGGCAGCAGUGAUGAAUAUUGGUCAAUGUACGAGAGUCUGAACCAGCCAAGUAGCGUGCAGGAAGACGGCCCUAUGGGUUGUAAACUGCUUUUAUAAGGGAAUAAAGUGAGUCUCGUGAGACUUUUUGCAUGUACCUUAUGAAUAAGGACCGGCUAAUUCCGUGCCAGCCGCCGCUGUAA